rnacentral:rRNA from 1 species
GAUGAACGCUGGCGGCGUGCCUAAUACAUGCCAGUCGAGCGAACGGACGAGAAGCUUGCUUCUCUGAUGUUAGCGGCGGACGGGUGAGUAACACGUGGAUAACCUACCUAUAAGACUGGGAUAACUUCGGGAAACCGGAGCUAAUACCGGAUAAUAUUUUGAACCGCAUGGUUCAAAAGUGAAAGACGGUCUUGCUGUCACUUAUAGAUGGAUCCGCGCUGCAUUAGCUAGUUGGUAGGGUAACGGCUUACCAAGGCAACGAUGCAUAGCCGACCUGAGAGGAGGAUCAGACAAACUGGAACUGCGACACGGUCCAGAGUACUACGGGAGGAAGAAGUGGGGAAUAUUGGACAAUGGGAGAAAGCCUGAUCAAGCUAUGACGCGGGAGUGAAGAAGGUCUUCGGAUUGUAAAGCACUUUAAGUUGGGAGGAAGGGAAGUAAGUGAAUACCUUGCUGUUUGGACGUUAACAACAGAAGAAGCAACGGCUAACUUCGGG